UCCGCCGCAGCGGCGAGCCGGGAACGCCCGCUGACGACUGACAACACGGGCCUGUGGCGUGCCCCGGCCGGGAACAGCCGGCCACGACCGGGGAACAACAACAGGCACCGCUUAUCCAUUGAGUAGGUGGAUUUCCUCAGGAUGUUCACUGUUGUUUCACCCUUCUCAAGCUCCUGCAGUAAUACAACGAAGAAACUACCUACACACAGCCACACAAGCCGAGUUUUUUUGGUAAAAAGCCCUACAGGUGGAAAAAGCACAUAUGUGACGGGAAAAAAGAAAAUCACCUUCCCACCUUUCCUCGGCUCCAGCAAAAUAGAAAUUAAAAAUAAAUCGCUACACCACCCCCAA